rnacentral:lncRNA from 1 species
AUGAACUUAGUGCGGCAAGAACAGCUAAGGAGUGAAGAAAACCCAUGUCCCAUUUUCUUCUUUUCUCCGUGUACCCAGAGCAUCCUCAGCCCAUCUUAGUAUUGAGAUGGUGAACACAACUUCCCAACCACAAAUCAGACUGCAUGGACUUUGUGUCCAGGAGGACAAAGUAUUUAAAACUGGGUUCUUGCUACAAGCAAGGUUACAGCACAGAAGAAACAGGCACUUGCCAGAAGUCAACAGCUAGAAGAAAAGGAAUGUCUGUCUUCCUGAGAGAAAGGAGAAACGAAUGGGAAAGGAAGCAAUAUUUUUUGAGCCCUUGACAUCAGACACUUUACAUAUAUUAUCCUCUUUUCUCCUAAAAACAAUGAUGUAUCAUUAUCACCUCCACUUAAUCAAUGCAGAAACUGGCAUACAAAGCUGUAAGUAACUCGCCCAACGUAACACAGUAGAGAUGAAAGAAUUCAAAUUCAGAUCUGGC